UACGGGGGGGGCAAGCGUUGUUCGGAAUUACUGGGCGUAAAGGGCUCGUAGGCGGCCAACUAAGUCCGACGUGAAAUCCCCAGGCUUAACCUGGGAACUGCGUCGGAUACUGGAUGGCUUGAAUCCGGGAGAGGGAUGCGGAAUUCCAGGUGUAGCGGUGAAAUGCGUAGAUAUCUGGAGGAACACCGGUGGCGAAAGCGGCCACCUGGACUGCACCUGACGCUGAAACGCGAAAGCUAGGGGAGCGAACGGG
rnacentral:rRNA from 1 species